rnacentral:rRNA from 1 species
CAGCAGCCGCGGUAAUACGAAGGGGGCUAGCGUUGCUCGGAAUUACUGGGCGUAAAGGGAGCGUAGGCGGACAUUUAAGUCAGGGGUGAAAUCCCAGAGCUCAACUCUGGAACUGCCUUUGAUACUGGGUGUCUUGAGUGUGAUAGAGGUAUGUGGAACUCCGAGUGUAGAGGUGAAAUUCGUAGAUAUUCGGAAGAACACCAGUGGCGAAGGCGACAUACUGGAUCAUUACUGACGCUGAGGCUCGAAAGCGUGGGGAGCAAACAGGAUUAGAUACCCCGGUAGUCCCUGUCUCUUAUAC